rnacentral:rRNA from 1 species
UACAGAGGGUGCAAGCGUUGUUCGGAAUUACUGGGCGUAAAGCGCGUGUAGGCGGUUUGGCAAGUCAGACGUGAAAUCCCUCAGCUUAACUGAGGAACUGCAUCUGAUACUGCCAGACUAGAGUGUCGGAGGGGAUGGUGGAAUUCCCGGUGUAGUGGUGAAAUGCGUAGAGAUCGGGAGGAACACCUGUGGCGAAGGCGGCCCCCUGGGCCGGCCCUGACACUGAGACGCGAAGGCGUGGGGAGCGAACGGG